rnacentral:tRNA from 1 species
AGGGAUGCAGUUCAGUGGAAGAGUGCUUGCCUAGAAUGCACAAAGACCUGGGUUCCAUCCUCAGCAACCCUA